CGUCUUUAGAGUUGAAAUUAGACCAUAUGGUUGUGGAGAAUGGUGAGAAUUUUUCUGUAGGAGAAAGGCAACUGCUUUGUAUGGCUAGAGCUCUUCUCAGGAAUAGUAAGAUUUUGAUGCUUUAUGAAGCGACUGCUGCCAUUGAUACAGAGACAGAUGCUCUUGU
rnacentral:lncRNA from 1 species